UGGGUUGUGGCUCAGUGGUAGAGUGCUUGCCUACCAUGCUUGAGGUACUAGGUUCGAUCCCCAGCACCACAU
rfam:Ictidomys tridecemlineatus contig064680, whole genome shotgun sequence.